rnacentral:misc_RNA from 1 species
AAGUCGUAACAAGGUUUCCGUAGGUGAACCUGCGGAAGGAUCAUUAACACGUUUACCAAACUGUAUCAACCCCGUAUCAACCGUGCUCUGUUGUUUGUGUUUUUCCUUUUCGUUUCUUUGUUUUCGAACCCAGAAAGGAGAAGGAAAAAGGUAUGGUGUUCUCUUUGAGUGAUCGGAGAUCGAGCACUAUUCCUCAACCCCAUUUUUUAAACCUUUAUAAACCCCAUAACAACAUGCCCAUCGUGGUACUAAAUCUUGAGUCACCGAGGAAGCGGGAUUUGAAAUGACCUAAGAAAAGAAAACUUUUUUUUUCAAAAAAGUGUUGCCUUCUUUUCUUGAUUUUCUCCUGCAUCAUUUCCGAGGAUCAUGACUUACUUUUACGGCUUAAACGCCACUGUACAACUCUUAGCAACGGAUAUCUUGGUUCUC